rnacentral:lncRNA from 1 species
UAUGGAUAGACUCAUGUUUUGAGUUAGGCUAAGCUCAUACAAAAAUAAAAUGUAUUAAUAUCAUACUUAAACUCUACCCAGCCCAUAAAAACUUCUAAUUAAUAUUAUUGUUAUAACAAAACAACAUAAUGAUAUAAGUUGUUGGAUUCAUUUCCUAAAGGAAAAAUAUUGGAAGUGGGAAGCAAAUGGUAAAAUCCCAGCAACGAAAACAAGGGCACGUUCAAAAUUGGUGCUUCAAAAGGAUCAAACACUUGAUAUUUUCAUCUCAAAGUUUGUUCAAUUUCCCACCUGUUUGGAACGCUUUGGAUUGAUAUAUCCCUGAGGUUUGGAAAGGCUCAAAGAACUUGCUUACAAUCUUUUGCAGCUUCCGCGUAACCCCAUAUGUAGAAAGGACAUAGUAAAGACAAAAUACAAGAUUGGAGUUCUUUUAACUCCGAUGUUAACCUCCCAACUCAAUUUCCCUUUUCUUCAACAACUCCAUGGAACUCUGUAAGCAUUGAGAAGGUGGUGUUUCCUUCAAAAUAACAGCUUCUAAGAUGCAGGCAAACAAUUUACAAGCAUAUUUAUCAUGUUUCAAAAGCUUUCAUAAUAAUAUGGAUCAUGAAAACUUUUCCUUAAAAAGAAAAAAGAAAAAGAAAAAACAUGGCCUGAGCUUUCCUUUCAUAAAAAAUUACAAAGAUGAUUAAUAUAUACGAAAGUACUUAAACUUGACAACUAAUACUUACUUGCUAGAACUGUCCAUGGAACGAGCUAUUUGUCCAAGCCCAAAGGUUCCCCGAAAUUUGGGAGAAUUUGGGCAAAAAUAUUACACUCAAAAAAUGAUGAACUUAAACAAGAAAAUUAGGCCUGUUUAAAAUAUGGGUCAAUCUC